GAUGAAGAACGUAGCGAAAUGCGAUACGUAAUGUGAAUUGCAGAAUUCAGUGAAUCAUCGAAUCUUUGAACCCAUAUUGCGCUCUCUGGUAUUCCGGAGAGCAUGCUUGUUUGAGUAUCAGUAAACACCUCAACUUCCAUAUCUUUUUUGAAAUGGGAGUUGGACUUGAGUGAUCCCAACGCUUUUCCUCACCGAAAAGUGGCGGGUUACUUGAAAUGCAGGUGCAGCUGGACUUUUCUCUGAGCUAUAAGCAUAUCUAUUUAGUCUGCCUAAAAAACAGAUUAUUACCUUUGCUGCAGCUAACAUAAAGGAGAUUAGUUCUUGUGCUGACUGAUGCAGGAUUCACAAAGACAGCUUCGGCCGACUUUGUAAACUCGAUCUCAAAUCAAGUAAGACUACCCGCUGAACUUAAGCAUAUCAAUAAGCGGAGG
rnacentral:misc_RNA from 1 species